rnacentral:rRNA from 1 species
AUUGAACGCUGGCGGCAGGCCUAACACAUGCAAGUCGAACGAGUGGCGGACGGGUGAGUAAUGUCUGGGAAACUGCCUGAUGGAGGGGGAUAACUACUGGAAACGGUAGCUAAUACCGCAUACCAUCGGAUGUGCCCAGAUGGGAUUAGCUAGUAGGUGGGUUAACGGCUCACCUAGGCGACGAUCCCUAGCUGGUCUGAGAGGAUGACAAGCAACCAUGUAACGGAGACACGGUCCAGACUCCUAAGGGAGGCAGCAGGGGGGAAUAGUGGACAAUGGGCGCAAGCCUGAUGCAGCCAUGCCGCGUGUGUGAAGAAGGCCUUCGGGUUGUAAAGCACUUUCAGCGGGGAGGCGUUACCCGCAGAAGAAGCACCGGCUAACUCCGUGCCAGCAGCCGCGGUAAUUC